GCAUUGUCGAGAUCCAGAAUGGCAUUUG
rnacentral:piRNA from 1 species